CGCACCCUUUCUAGGGCUUCUACCUUUAGAGUACGCUCUGUCAUUGUAUGCACAGACCAGGGCGCACUAGAUGCAUGUAUUCUGGCACCUCUGUGCUUCAACUGGGGUUCCGUACGCCCUUCCCUUAACCGAGAAGGAGAACUCACAGUGCUGCCAAAACUCCACAAUUCUAGAUCAUAUAAGGAUGAACCCCGUGGACUAUAUAUAUUGAGGCUUUCAGGUCUCCCAGACUCGGGCUACGUCCCGACAUUGCAGACCGCUCAUCCCGGUCUUACUGAGGGUGUCCUCAUUCUCAGACCACUCCCCGGAUCCUGCGAAAAUUAUACUGAUUGAUCAAAAUUCUGGGUGACCCCCAGUUAUACGCGGAGGCCCACUGAGUGGCAAUAAGUGUACUGUUGUACGAUCCUGUCUCCCACGGACCGAAAGGGUGUGAACCAACAUGUCGGACUUACCUCAAUAUCCCCGACCGAUUUUCAGGCGAGGAUUAAGGCCGCCAUGACAGCUCCGGGGGAAGAAGUCCUCUCCAGUAUGCUGGCUAACAAUCCAUCCGACAGAGCGGGUGCAACGGCAGCAACACCAAUGGAAGAUUG